AGUUAUGAUGUAAUAUAAUGAGCAUAUGGUACCAUGUUUUGUAUUGAAUUAUUAUAGAAGAGCAGCUAUUCCAACUGUGUGCUCAAGAGGGCGCCGUUGUCCAUAGAAUUGUACCGUAGUUCUUUGAUAAGGGACUGAAUUAAUACAGUAUAAAGGAUGAAUAGAAACAGCGGAGUCGCUUAUAAAAUUGUUACUGUUACCCGUACUUUGUUUUACCGAGCUAACUUUAGAUACUAACAGGUUAGCAGGCUAAGAGCGGUCAAAUAUGCACCAGAAUACAUUUACUGUGACAUGUGGUGAUGAUAAUACACAUUUAGUCACGAUCGGUAUUAAGUGAAAUCUGAAGAAAGAGUUUCCACACAUGAGUUUUAUUUGUGUUGUGGAGUCAUGGAGACGUUGUUGGUGGCUACAAGCAACAGCUGACAGUGGAGGGGAAGAAAAGAUGGACGCCCAGGACCAAACUUCAAAUCAGCUUCAGGAACGAGUUCAAGCUCUGACAGGAGAAAAUCUGCAGUGGCGUGGCAAAUACGAGCGUGUCCUCACCAAAGUGGGCCACCUGGAGACCAGGUUGAGCCAUCUGGCCAGCUCCAACACAGACCUGUCCUGCAGGCUGGUCCAGAGUGAAGAGGAAAGACUGAAGAUCUAUAAGGAGCUUGUAGAGGAGAAAAUUAAGGCUAAUAAGAUAAGAGAACAGUAUGAAGAAGAGACAUUUGAGCUGAAAACCAAGGUACUUAACCAAGAAGGUGUGAUAACAGAGCUGGAAAUAGAGCGAGACAGGUUGCUCAGGGAACUGCAGUCCACUGAGACAUGCCUGAAAGGGAAAGAGACUAGCGGCCAGGACUUGACUGAGGAAUAUGCCACGCUAAAGAAGAACUACCAGAUUCUGGCUGAGGUCCACGAUAAAGAACUAGCCAAGAGUGGAGCGCUCACAGCAGAGCUGCUGGCGCUGGCCCAGGCCCAGGACGCCCUCCGCAGGCAGCUGGAGGAGCAGCAUCAAUGUGUGAAGACCAGCACCGAAGGUCUUCAUGGGGAGCUAGACAGGGUGCGGGCUUUGAUCACCCGCAUGUCACAUGACACAGUCAAGCCUGAGGAACAAGCAGAGAUGGACAAGGAGCAAAAAAGCAUGCAGAAAACUCUGCUUGAAAACCAAGAUGAGAUCAAAGACAAGCUGGAGGAAAUGAAGAGCAGCUACAAGGAGCAGCAGAAGAAACUGGAGGAGAAAGUGGUGGCGAUGGGUAAAGAGCACCAGCAGAUCCACAGAGCGAUGCACGUUAGCCAGAAGAAACUCUCUGAGCAGAGUGCGGCCCUGAUGUGCUCUCAGAGACAAUUAAAGGAGGCAGAGGAGGAGAACUCCAAGCUGCAGCUGCAGGUGAAAGAGCUGAUUGAGGAAUAUCGCACAAGGCUCGUGUGCUAUUUACAGGACAUAGCUGACUACAUCGAUGGGCUUGAAGAAAGUAAAAGGCCGUCAGAGCCGAGUAAGAUGAGAGGAUUCAUCGACAGCAUGCUGCAGGAUGUUCGUUUAUCCUACAGGGCGAGGGAGGAGCAGCUCGCCACCGCUGCUCGCUCAUAUAAGAAGAGACUACAGAGGAUCACCCAAACUCAUCAUGCCCUCCUGGUUGCAUACAGGCUUCAGAGGGAGCAGAUCUUGGUCAAACCGGAGAAUGGUCUUGAUCCCGGACCUCCAGAAGCCCACUUCAACUUGGAGCCAACUGAACUGAAAGAUGCAAUCGAGAAGGAGCUCCAACAACUGCACCAGGACAAAGCAAGGCUGGAAGGUCAGCUGCAGGCGGCCCGGGAGCAGGUGGCUGCGUUCAAAAUACCCAUGCAAAAUGUAAACCGUCAGCAGCUGGACAAACCGGAGCAGCGAUUCGAGGAAUCCUGUGGUGACAUAAGAAAACAGCUGAAAGAGCUCACUGACUCCACGCCGGUGUCCUUUGAGAAGGAGCGUGCCCUUCUCAUGACCAGAGCAGCAGUUGCAGAGGCACAGGUGCUGGAGUUGCAGGACUAUAUUGAAAAGCACCUGAGCAGGACCCUGAUCCAGACACAGGAUCCAUCUUUUUAGGAGGCCUUUUGGCGCUAAAUAGUGGAGACCACUGCCAAAUGGGAAAACGACUACACACAGAGAAAGAAAGACCAGACUCAAUCAGGAAGUGGCAGCUUUUCAGCUGUGCCAGAGGAGCCGGGCAACUUCCUGGUCUCGUUGCCAAGGUGACUGGAAGCGCGGCCAGCUGGUGCAGUGGGCAGCCGUUGGGUUUGAUGGGGGGGGUUGACGACGGUUGGUAUAUUGGACGGGAGGAGUCGGUGAAAAGCUGUGAUGGAGGGAGUUUAAAUAGAAUGGUCUAAAAAAGAGAGAAUAUCCAAUCAGCUGCAGAUCUCAAACCAACGCAGCACCUUUGGGAUGUUGUGGAACAGAAGAUUGCCAUCAUGGAUGUGCAGCCGACAAAUCCGCAUGAAAUGUGCGAUGCUCUCAUCUCAGUAUGGACUAAAAUAUGACAGGAAUGUUUCCAGCACCUUGUUGAAUCUGUGCCAUGAAGAAUUAAGGCAGUUCUGAAGGCAAAAUAGAUCUAAUACAGUACUAGUAAGGUAUAACUAGUAAAGUAGUCAGUGAGUGUAGGUGCUUUCCUGAAGUUUAUGGAAAAACAUCAUCUUAACAGUUCUCUGUUGAAUUGAUAUGAUAUGCUUGCAUGAUUUCUUCAGGAUAAUGAUCUAACUCUUACAGAGGCAGGAGCUGCUGAGUAGAAAAUAAUAGACUUCCUUCUUCUGUGUCUGUUUCUUGCUGGCUCACUGAUUCACAACAUGUUCAGUUUAUAUGAACCAAACAGGCUGUACACUGUAUCUGUAUGUGCAUCCCAGGGAGAACACACAUAAAGAUGAGGAGAACUCAACUCCAAGUGCAAACACUCACAGGUGGAGGUGCAGGGAGGAGUUUUUUUGAGAGAGAGAGGUGAAGAAACAGCACAAGAAUAACAGAAGAAAGAUAGAGUGGUGAAAUACAGAGGGGAAGAGAAACCUUAGAAAAAAAGAGGGGGUAAGUGUGAAAGAAGGAGGAAAGAGAAAGAAAGAGGAAUAACAUAAUGUGAAAGAAGUGGGUAGGAAGAUAGGGCGAGGGGGUGAUAGAAAGAGAAAAGGUAGAUCGGCAAUAAAGACAGAUAGAAAGUGACAAGGUAAUGGAGCGAGAGUAGAGAGGAGGUGGAGGAAGGAUCUGGAAAAGGCUGGACACAGAGGAAGCUGCUGAUGUCCAGGCUGAGCAACACAAACAGCAUCCUCCUCCACCCUCCAGUCCCCGGAGCCCUUCUUAUUCCUGUGCCAGAUGCAGAAGUCUUUCAUCCUUUCUGUUUCUUUCAUAAUUUCAGUUCCUCCCUCCCUCCCACGUUUUCUUUCUUUUCUAGUUUCUCGUGCUCUUCCAUGGUUCUCUACUCUGUUCACAACUCUCUUGAAACACCAUAAAUGUGUUUCAUGGUCUCAUCUAGAAAACAACUUCCCUCAUUUAGAAGA